CCUACGGGUGGCUGCAGUGAGGAAUAUUGGUCAAUGGGCGCGAGCCUGAACCAGCCAAGUCGCGUGAAGGAUGACUGCCCUACGGGUUGUAAACUUCUUUUAUAAAGGAAUAAAGUGAGGCACGUGUGCCUUUUUGUCUGGACUUUAUGAAUAAGGAUCGGCUAACUCCGUGCCAGCAGCCGCGGUAAUACGGAGGAUCCGAGCGUUAUCCGGAUUUAUUGGGUGUAAAGGGAGCGUAGAUGGGUUGUUAAGUCAGUUGUGAAAGUUUGCGGCUCAACCGUAAAAUUGCAAUUGAUACUGGCAGGCUUGAGUACAGUUGAGGUAGGCGGAAUUCGUGGUGUAGCGGUGAAAUGCUUAGAUAUCACGAAGAACUCCGAUUGCGAAGGCAGCUUACUAAACUGCCACUGACAUUGAGGCUCGAAAGUGUGGGUAGCAAACAGGAUUAGAUACCCCAGUAGUC
rnacentral:rRNA from 1 species